rnacentral:rRNA from 1 species
GACGAACGCUGGCGGCGUGCCUAAUACAUGCAAGUCGACCUUAGUGGCGAACGGGUGAGUAACACGUGGGUCACCUGCCCAUCAAAAGGGGAUAACACUUGGAAACAGGUGCUAAUACCGUAUACUGCUGGAUGGACCCGCGGUGCAUUAGCUAGUUGGUGAGGUAAUGGCUCACCAAGGCGACGAUCCCUAGCUGGUCUGAGAGGAUGAACAGGCACACUGGAACGGAGACACGGUCCAGACUCCUACGGGAGGCAGAAGGGGGGAAUAUUGCACAAUGGGCGAAAGCCUGAUGCAGCCAUGCGGCGUGUAUGAAGAAGGCCUUCGGGUUGUAAAGUACUUGCAGCGGGGAGGCGUUACCCGCAGAAGAAGCACCGGCUAACUCCGUGCCAGCAGCCGCGGUAAUAC